rnacentral:rRNA from 1 species
UCGAGGAUCAUUCGCAAUGGGCGAAAGCCUGACGAUGCGACGCUGCGUGAACGAUGAAGGCCUUCGGGUCGUAAAGUUCUUUCGCGCAAGAACAAGGAAGGUAUGUGAAUAACAUACCGACUUGAGGGUACUGCGUAAAGAAGCACCGGCUAACUCCGUGCCAGCAGCUGCGGUAAUACGGAGAGUGCAAGCAUUAAUCGGAAUUAUUGGGCGUAAAGGGCGCGUAGGCGGAAUGAUAAGUCAGAUGUGAAAUACCGAAGCUCAACUUCGGUGCUGCAUUUGAAACUAUCAAUCUAGAGGGUUGACGGAGAAAACGGAAUUCCACGUGUAGCGGUGAAAUGCGUAGAUAUGUGGAAGAACACCAGUGGCGAAAGCGGUUUUCUAGUUAAUACCUGACGCUGAGGCGCGAGAGCAAGGGGAGCAAACAGG